rnacentral:RNase_MRP_RNA from 1 species
CCCGCACGCGACGAAGUGAGCGAGCCCUUUGUGGCUCUGGAAAGUCCCCGGGCUUUUUAACCGCAGAGAUGCGGCCGCGGCAACGCGGAAAGUCUCGCGCCCGCGCCCUCCUCUUCACGAAGAGAGGGGUCAGAGACACGUGUGGAGACCUUGGGCGCGGGCCGAGACUAAUAAAUGGCCAAAUUUAAACAGUUAUUCACUUGAUCCAAUUCUUGGAUUAACAGAACGGGGCUUACGAUCGUGUGCAA